CAGAGCUGGCUGGGACGCAGGCUCCAUUUAGCUAAACGAUGAAACACAAACGUUUAUUGAGACUGUGCUUCGAAUCAACAGGGUUUUCCUCAGAUUGAGUUGCCGCCAAUUAUCCUCCAUGCAAUUAUGGUGAUCCCAGAAGCAAGCAGAUGGGGAAGAGUUUUGUUUUCAAAUGGAGGAGAAACCAAUAUGUAGGAAGAAAAGGCAGCUUGUUCAUUUGAACAGACUCCAGGUGGCUGGUCGCCAAAAGGCAAAGAGCUGGGGAGCCGGGUCUGGCCCUGGAUCAGUCCGACUGCCCACAGACCAGAGAAACCACCGAAACAACAGGGUUCUGCCUCCACUCAUCUCUUUUGCCAUCGGCCAGGUUGGCCGCGAGAGUGGAGGCCACGGGAGAGACAGACCACAGAGGCCCUCACAAGUCAGUCUCUUGACCUUGAUGCCACUGGAACAUUGAGUCCUGCUAUUUUGUUGUUGUUCAACAGCGACACGUCGGUGUAUUUUAUUAGAGAAGAAAAUUCAAGAAAAGGCAUGCAAAAGCCCAAACCAUAUGGCAAAUCUCCUUGGACAGACUUGAUUAUUUGGAGUUUCAUAAAACCUAAAAGCUAUUUCUUUUUUCUUAAGGAUUACAUUGUCCCGGACUUCUUGUUGGACCCUGACUCUUGAGGUUACCAUUCACAGGAGAACAGAGGAUGCUGUUGAAUGAUUACCAUAAUUAUUUCUGUCAGAGUUUAUAUUUAUAAUUACACAAUGCACCUAAGACUCCAUAAAAAAUAGUCACUAAUGUCAGUUCUAGGGGCAUCAAUGCUUACAGGGGAUUUGUUCCCCUUUUGACAAGAAGGGAACAUUAUCAGAUUGAAAUAAAUCCGAGGCACAUGGAGUGUGGAAAUGAUAUUUACAUUUACUCAGUAAAUUAAUUGAGGUAAGAAAGGUAUAAUUAAAUGAGGAAAAUUGUCAUGCAAAAAUCAGCCCAACUCAUAAGCUCAAUAAAGGUGUUUGAAUUUUGGUUCAUCACUCACAUAACAAAUAAUGAUCUGCAUUCUCGUUUCAAAAAGAGUAGCCAUUUCACCUAGAUAAAUAGGUGAUAAUAUGUUUAGAUACCUCAGUUUUAGUCUUUGUCCAGUCACAUAUAUUCACAUAAUCUUUGUUAGAUCACUCAUCCUCUCUGAGAGUUUGUCUCUUUCUCCAGAUUAAGGGAGCACUCUCAAGUUCUGUGAUAAAUUUCACUAAUGGAUCCUGAUGCCUGCAUUUUUGGGCAGAGGGAAAAAAUAGCCUGAUAAAUUUUGGGCUUCUUAAGGGACUGAUUGACUCUGUACGUAUCUAAAUGAGAUUGCUAGA
rnacentral:lncRNA from 1 species